GAUGAACGCUGGCGGCGUGCCUAAUACAUGCAAGUCGAGCGAACGGACGAGAAGCUUGCUUCUCUGAUGUUAGCGGCGGACGGGUGAGUAACACGUGGAUAACCUACCUAUAAGACUGGGAUAACUUCGGGAAACCGGAGCUAAUACCGGAUAAUAUUUUGAACCGCAUGGUUCAAAAGUGAAAGACGGUCUUGCUGUCACUUAUAGAUGGAUCCGCGCUGCAUUAGCUAGUUGGUAAGGUAACGGCUUACCAAGGCAACGAUGCAUAGCCGACCUGAGAGGGGGAUCGGCCAAACUGGAACGGAGACACGGUCCAGACUCCUACGGGAGGCAGCAGUAGGGAAUCUUCCGCAAUGGGCGAAAGCCUGACGGAGCAACGCCGCGUGAGUGAUGAAGGUCUUCGGAUCGUAAAACUCUGUUAUUAGGGAAGAACAUAUGUGUAAGUAACUGUGCACAUCUUGACGGUACCUAAUCAGAAAGCCACGGCUAACUACGUG
rnacentral:rRNA from 1 species